CCAACCGAAUGAACUAGAAGCUCUUUUUUUUUUAACAUCAGACCUCUUUACCGGAGUUUUCAUUGGAGGCCAUACGAGUGCGACACCGGGGGAUCGAACCUCAGUGGGCUUGAUAGCACCUGCUGCUUUGCCACCAUGCUCCUUGCGUGUUCGCGUCUCAACCAAAACCUCACGAUGGGCGGUGUUUACCUCUCGUACUCCCUCGCUAACGGUGGCUAGAGUGAGAGCUUGUUUGGGCAACUUGCGACUUCGUCUCUCUCCAACGACGUCUCAACUCCAAGAACACAUCUCUGGGUGUGAAGGCUUCUGUGACCUCUUCUUCUUGAUUCCCUAUCUCAUCCUUUUCCUCCUCCAUCCUCUCCUCUUUUUUCUAGGUCUCUAAGUGUGCGGCUUUGUCAGAUUUCAUGAGGUCUUUUCAGUGCAACAAGUGAAGCGAAUGGGUAUGGAGCCCGAUUGGCAAAGCCACAAGGGAGUGUCCGAGCCCGCCGGUACGAAGCCGCGGCGUCAUACACCCAUGUUAAAAAUAACCUCCAAUGAAGGCCCGGAUUAGGGGGGCCGGUUCUAAAAAAUUAAGAAAAAAAAAGUGAAGGAAUUGCUACUGGUGUGAUCUUCUUCAGCGGCUAGAUUUUGGUGAGGUGAGAAGGCGUCCAUCUCCUUUGUUUCCUCUCUUCUGUAUUGAUUAUUUGAAAUCCUGAUAUCAUAAUUUCUUAGGAGCUCAUGUCUGGACAGUGAACACCAUUUUGUUCUUGUCGCAUUGUAGUUUUAGUCUAUCUAUUUAAACAUGAAAUCUAUAGUAGGAGUAGAAAUUAUCAUAAUAGUCUAACUCCUUUCCUGCCUUAUGUCAUGUGUUACUAAAGAGACGACUAAUAGAAAGGUAAACACGAUUAAGACACCUUGUGUCAUGUGAGAAGAAAAGAAGACACGGAGCCUGCAUUCCAAAUUAUGCAAAAUUUAGCAAGAUGGGACAAGUGCUCUACACACCCAAUAUAUCUAGUCAAUGGUCAUGCUCAUUUGGCUUCAAAGCUUUUACCAGAUAAUGAUUCUAUAACCAAAUUCUGAAUACCCAAACCAUGUAUUAUGAUGUUGUUGCUCUGCAUGAAAACAUGUGUAGGCCUAGAGCGUGAGAGUACGGCGACGAAAACAUGGAGCAUGUUUGAAUUAAGCCAAAAUUUCAAUAAACCUUCGUGGUUAACCAUGGUUAUUUUGUGAUGGCCAAUUUGGUUAGCAUAAGCUAAUACGAGCUAGUUUGUAUCAGAUGCACUUCAACUGCUAGUACACUGUUACCGCAAGCCUACUGUCAACCCGUGUGAUUUUGGACCUCCACGACCUAUAAUCUCGCCAGUGUGUGUGCUUGAUGAUUUGUUCUAAGUUGUGCCGUUUUUCACCAUAUAUUUUACAGUGCAAAAGUUGUUAGGAUUGGUCUGUGAGGCGCAUAACUAAGUUAGUGUUUGGUUCGUGGGACGAGAUGUGAUGGAGUUGAUCUAUAUCGUUUUUAGCUGUUUAGAUUGAGAGCAGUGGAAUAAAAUGGUUCGAAAUCAAAUAUUCUUUAAAGAUUCGGGACAGAGUUGUUCCAAAAAAUAGUGAAACGCAACAUCUUAUUUCGAACGUGACACUGACGGUAGGCACAAAGUGUUAAAAUAGAUUUGUUCCAUUCCACCCACCAAACAAGUAUUUAUAUAUGAAUAGAAUCAUCAUAUCUCACCCCGCUCUCCAACCAAACACUACCUAAAGGAUUAAAACUAUCUAUCUAUCAUUUAAGGCCAACAAAAAAUAAAGAUAUAAUGAUAUUUCCUUUCCCUCUCAACUGAUUUUGUUGGUCAGUAUUUAGAGAUUUGUGUUAAGUAAUGGUUUCAUUCCUUAGAGAAUUUAUGUUAAGUUAUGGAAUGGAUUAGUCAUGACCUACUUGAGUAAAAACCCUCCUGAAUAAUAUGUUUGUCCGUUAUUGUAUUAAGUAGUGUUUUAUAGCAUCAUCAUGCUUUAUCCGUUCUUGAAUGAUAUGUCUAUGCAUAAGCUGUUGUUUUCAUGUUGUGUUAAGUAAGGCAUCUAUGCUGCUAGCAUCAUCACACUCUAUCCAUUCUUGAGCGUAAUUUUUUCCCACUGGUUGGUACUCACUGGCUGCUACACAUAUUAGUUAUUUACGAACCAACAAUGCAUUGAUACUAGGAUAAAUCUAAAAAAAAUACACGUGUAUGUUUUAGACUUAUAGCAUACACACCUAUUUUUAGUAAAAAAAAUAUCUGAACAUGAGCAUUUUAUUAUUAAUUUUUUGACUUUUUUACAUAUGGACUUGUAACACUUAUUUGUGAUUAACUUAAAUGUGUGGCAAAAAAUAGAAAAAAUAUUUGAUAACAAAUACAUCUGUUGGUCUGCCUCUUAAAUGCAGUUAUAUAAGUAAUUUUGUGAAAAAUUGUAAACAAAUUAGAAUAGACCCGUGAGCAAUUUGAAAUAGGUUAAGGCAAUUCAGGAUUGGGUGUUCAACAAAUUUUGUGAAUAAAUUAGAACCAUUCAGAGGCAAUAUUAGAUCUAGAUGCUACAUAUUUUCAAUAAAAAAAGAGAGAACAAUUUGUGAACAAUUUUGCUGCAAGCAAAUUGGCUCAAACUUGCAAAUAAUUUUGUAUACUUUUAGAAGCAAAAUAGGUGUGCAUGUCAUAAGAUUAAAUCAUGUACGUGCAAUUUUUAGAUUUUACCUUGAUACUAUAUCUAAGUUUGUCCUAUCUGUAAAUGUUAGAUAAUAGGUUGUAGAAAUGAGAUUAUGGGAUAUAUGAAAGAGAAAAAUAGGAAAUUCAUGUGAUUAUGGGAUAUAGGAAAGAGAAAAUUAGGAAAUUCAUGUAGAUGGAAGAUGAACUAUUUUUGGUAAUCGUUCCUGCCAUACUUGAAUAACUUAAUGAUGAAAAAAGGCAUAUACAUACUUCAUAAUAUAUUGGUGCUAAAAAGAUGAAGUAAAUUCUUGAGGGACAUGAUAGUUUCUAGGACUGAGUUCCAUAUGAAUCCAGAGAUAUUUAAGGCGACAUCAAAUUAUCUUAUGUAAGAGAGUCUACUGCAUGACACACGUGGCAUUACUGUUGAUUAACAUGUGUUGUUAAGUGUUUGCCUGAUUAUUAUAUUACAUUCUUAACUCUCAUGCAUUAUGAUGUAUCACAUAAAUUAUUUAGUUUUUUUACUUAUCUUGUUUUUUUAUGUCCUCACGAACCUAAUUUUGAUCAGCUUAUAGCUUCUGGAUAACAAUUUUACAUAAUAAUCAAUUGUUCAUGUGCUUUGACUAUUGAGUUGUCAGUAUGAGCACUUUGAAUUGUGUCAUCCACCACAGUAUUAGAAAAAUAUUGAAGCUUUGAAUUAGUAGAUGGCUAGUAUAAUGAUUAACUUGAUCGGAUGCGUGUAUCGGUACUAGCGAAAGAUUAACCAUACCACAUAUUUUCUAUAUUCUAGCAGCAAUUUUCAUUUUUCUUCUUCUAAUUUUUCUGAAUUGUUAGGAUUUUUAUCCCUGUGUCUCCCAAACAACAACGGCCAGGAAAAUGUGAACCCACGGAACUCAAUAUUGAAACCAACCAAUCAUAGCUCGCAUAAUAAUCUCUAUGCUUGUCCCAAUAAUACCUAAUGAACCUAAAUCCACUUCCAUCCAAACAAAUCCUUCGCCAACCAAAAAAAAUCCAAGCUGAAGUGAAUAGAUACUUGAACUUGGAUUAUAGAACAGUUCAUUCAUGACCAAUAUCCUUGAUGACGUAAUCAGAGUACAAACGAUAGCUGAUUAUUUACAGAGGAUUCAGAUUCAUGAAAGAUAAAUAGUACUAGAACAUAUACAACAAUCUAUGAAAGCCAUGUCUUGAUCAAAUUUUGAACGAGAUUUGGAAGCGCGGAAUCAGAAAAGCUCCGGGCAGUCCCAUACUUCUCCAGACCGACACUGCCGUCUGGACGAGUUCACGCGGAGUUCAGCUUCGCGAGGGUGCGCUUCACGGCCUUCACGCUCAGUGGGCUGUUUUUGCUCUGCUCAAUUCAGACAGAGAAGAGACAGUUUCAUUAUGUUUCCUGCUAUGGUCAAUCGUAUAAGCACCUAGGAUCUCUUUCGGUAAAGUGUACUGAAAGAGAUUCUUCGGUUAGCUCAUGCAUGUUGCGUGGCAGUGUGAAACUGUCUAACUUGCAUAAGCUAAACAAGGCUGUAGAUGUAUCAAUGUUGCAGUGAAGAGAUUACCGCAGAGCAAGUUCCAGCCCUGGUGUUGCAGACAGGGUAAUCCCGUGGGCAGCAGCUGGCGUGAUCCUUGCAGCAGACGGCGCUUUCCAGUGGGCAGCAACCCCAGACCAAGCAGAGAUUCCUAAAGCCGAAUGCACAGCAGCAGGUGCUGCCUGCUGAGCACGAAAAGUUCUCGUCGCAGACCAAUUCGGGGGCGACGGGGGGAGGUGGUGUUGGAGGGGUUGGAGAUGGCUUGGGAGGGUUCGCGCCCUUUUUAGUGGGGUAAGAUGCCAUCAUGGCAAUCCCGCACUUCCCGCUGGUCGCAUUGAUGUUGCGCUCCAUGCGGACGUACCCAGCCUCACCCCACUUCGGACCCCAUGAGUUGCGGACGAUCCAGUAGUCCUUGCCAUUCUCGGUGCCAUAGCCGACCGCAACCACACCAUGGUCAAGGGUUGUGGUGCACCUUCCACUGAAGACACCCUGUAAUAAAAAAUCGAAGACGAGUUAAGAUCAACAACCUACUCGUUGUAUGAUAACAUAGGCAGAUUGCUUCAGCAAGUUUGUUUACCGAUUUAUAGAGCUGGAACUCGCGGCCACCAGCAGCAAUGGCAACACUGACUGGCUGUGAUCAAUGUACCAAUCUGGACAUGAGCAAAGACCAUCACGUGAAAGAGGGGAGCAUAUGAAGGAAUAAGGAGAUACAUACCCUGCUGAUGUCGCAUUUGCCAUCCACGGCUUUGUAAGGGUAGUCAGCUUCAGUGUCA